GGACCAAUAUGUCGGUCGUGCUUUUGUACGUACUGAUAUAAUUGGUUUCUCCCUUCUGAAGAACCUUGAUGUCAUUAAUUUGGUGUCUUGGGGAAUCAGGACUGUUACUUUGAAAAAAUUAGAGUGUUUAAAGCAGGCUCGCGCUUGAAUACAUUAGCAUGGAAUAAUGAAAUAGGACGUUUGAUUCUAUUUUGUUGGUUUCUAGGAUCGACGUA
rnacentral:rRNA from 1 species